GCGGCGUGCACUGUCGGUCGGCGGCUAAGGAGGGGAGGCACCUGCAUCUGGGGCGCGGCGAAUCCUCGCGUGCGCCAGGCCGCCUGGGGUAGUCGCCGAGACUGCGCCGGCCAGCGGGGCCGAAACCUAAUCAGGAGCUGAGCUUUGAUGGCGGCUUCUGGAGGGACAAAGAAGGCGCAGAGCGGUGGGAGGAGGCUGCGAGAACCUAGCUCCCGCCCCAGCCGACGUGCGAGACAAAGGCCCCGGCGCGGGGCUCUUCGGAAGGCCGGGAGGUUCCUGUGACAAUGCGAGUCUGCGCCCCACGCUCCCGCACCGUGAUGCCGAGGCCAAAUGGCUAGAGUGGGCCCAGGCAUCAGCAUUUCUGUUUGGCAGCCGGGCAGUUGUGGUGCACGUUUUGAGGAACUACUAAAGCCUGCCUGUGAUGAAAAAGGCAAAAGCUGACUUCACCAAAAUUACUCCCAGGGAGACUUCUGCAUUUGGCUGGAAGGACAUUUGAGUAAACCGCUGAGGCUGGUGGUUGAAACAUAAUCCUCUAAGGGAGAUCGGUUCCGAUACCCUGAGUUAGGGACGCUUGCCUGGGCAGAGCUAAGGGGAGAAUGAUCAAAAGCCAAGCUCUGUCCCCGUCAGCACGUCACCCUCCCUCACUGUAAUCCCUGACUGUUUUCUCUAAAUGAAGAAUUAUUUAGAGAAUAUAAAUUAGAAGGGCCGCCACGUCAGAAUUGCCUGAGUGGGAGCAGUCUUUCCAGCCUCGAAAAAUGUUUAAACAAUAUGCAGAUGACCUAGCACAAAUAAAGAAUGCUAGCAACCGCUGUUAUGUGUGAGCGGUGGAAUUGGGAGGGCUCUUCCCCCAAUCUUCAUCAAACAGAGUAAGGUUUAGAAUAAAAAUAAUGAAAUACAGUCUUUCAAAAAGAGCAGCGCUUGACUAAUGUUACUGAUGUCACUCAUGUUACUCAAGGGAGGAAAGAACUCAAACUCUACAUAAUAAUACCCACUGAUUUCAAGGGCUGGCACGGAGAAUUAAGCAGACCGCCAUUCUUUAUAUUUGUUUUUUUGUUGUUGUUUGCUUAUGAUUUUUUUCUUUCUUUUUUUUUUUUUUUUUUUGAGAAGGGGUCUCGCACUGUCACCCAGGCAGGAAUGCAGUGGCGCGAUAAUGGCUCACUGCAAUCUCACUAUAUUGACCAGUAUGAUUUUCAACUCCUGUCUUUAAGCGAUCCUCACGCUUCGGCCUCCCAAAGUGCUGGGGUUACAGACAUGUGCCACUAUGCCCUGCCUAAAUAUGUUUAUAUAUACUACCGCCAAAGAAACAAUUUGAAGACGAUCUUUCCCCAGCCCCUCUCCUUCUGAUCCAACUCCAAGAGCUCACCCUCCCUGUAAGACCUGUAGCAGAGCACGUAUUGGCCUGCUGAUACUAGGGGCAAAGACCGGGCCGAUCAGAUGUUACAUGGCAUAAGGGCGAAGGAUUCUGAAAGAAAGACUGAGACUUGCUGGAGGAAGUACUAGUAGUGCCAAGGGCAGGAACUCAACUGUUAGGCAGAAGGGAGGAAUGUACUGUUGAUAUGGACAGACUCCAAGAAGGGGAGGGACUGCUGGGACUACUAGAACGAGAAUGCCUCUGCCCCUAUGGCUCAGCUCUGCAACUCUCUCUGCACAUUGGCUUCAUGCUGUUAGACCAGCUUCCUCCAUAUGUCUGGAAACAAGGCCACUGACAGCUCCCAACAUUUCAUCUUCUGCCUCAUCAUCAGACAGGCGAGUGCAGUGGCAUAAUCUCGGCUCACUGCAACCUUUGCCUCCUGGGUUCAAGCAAAAACUGGAAUGAUGCAGCUUCAGGCCAAGGAAUGCUGGCAGCCACCAGAAGCUGAAGGACACAAGGAAUGGAUUCUCAGAGCCUCGGCAGGAAAUGUGGCCCUGCCAACACCUUGAUUUCAGACUUCUCAACUCCAGUACUGGGAGGGAAUAAAUUUCUGUUGUUUUAAGCCUCCCAGUUUGUGAUAAUUUGCUACAGCAGCCACAGGAAGCAAAUAAGGAGGGCCUAUUUGGAGGAGGAUGCAAACCCAGCAGUGGGUGAUGAACUAUUCUUACUUACAGCUACCUUAUUCAUUACUAGUCUAGACUUAAGCAUUGACUUCAUCACUGAAAAGGCUGCAGCUGAGCCUAGAGUUUCAGGUUCCUGUGCUGCAUAUGGCUACAGUGAUUCUUAGGUCAGCUCCCUAGGAUGCAGUUGAGUCUCUCUCUAACUGAUGAGUCUCUUUAAAUAUACAGUUGGGGCUGGGUGCGGUGGCUCACACCUCUAAUCCUAGCACUUUUGGAGGUUGAGGAGGGAGGAUCACUGGAACCCAGGAGUUCAAGACCAGCCUUGCCAACAUAGUGAAACCCAUCUCUACUAAAAAAAUACAAAAAUUAGCCGGGCAUGGUGGCGCACACCUGUAAUCCCAGCUACUCGAGAGGCUGAGGUGGGAGAAUCACUUGAACCUGAGAGGCAGAGGCUGCAGUGAGCCAACAUCGUGCCACUACACUCCAGCCUGGGCAACAGAGUGAGACUCUGUCUCAAAACUAUGUAAAUAAAUAAAUAAAUCUACAGCGGGCCCUCCCUGUUCUUGGGUUCUGCAUCCAUGGAUUCAACCAAUUGUGGAUCAAGAAUAGGUUCAUCUGUACUAAACAUGUAUAGACUUUUCUUCUUGUCUGUAUUCCCUAAAUGAAAUAGUAUGACAAGCCAAGCAUGGUGGCUCACACCUGUAAUCACAGCACUUUGGGAGGCUGAGGCAGGAGGAUUGCUUGAGCCCGGGAGUUUGAGACCAGCCUAAGCAACAUAGACCCCAUCUCUACCAAAAAAAUUUUUUUAGCCAGGCAUGGUGGCGUGUGCCUGUAGUCUUGGCUACUCAGGAGGCUGAAGUGGGAGGUUCACUUGAGCCCAGGAGGUCGAGGUUGCAGUGAGCUGUGAUCGCGCCACAGCCCUCCAGCCGGGACGACAGAGUGAGACCCUGUCUCAAACAAACAAACGUAGAUAUAUAGUACGCCAACUUACAUAACAUUUACAUUGUAUUAGGCAUUAUAAGUAAUCUAGACAUGAUUUAAAGGAGGAUAUGUAUAGGUUACAUGCAAAUUCUAUACCAUUUUAUAUAAGGAACUUGAUCACCCAUGGAUUUUGGGUGCAGGGUCUGGAAACCAAUCCCCCACAGAUAUUGUGGAGAGAUCAUACAUUUUCAUCUGAUAUUUUGACUUCUAACCUGAAAUUGUAUAUUUGCUCCAAAGUGAAACUCUUCCUAAGAGUUUUUAUCUUAGACACAUGGAAUCCAAAGAACCUUGAGGAAUUAUCUGGUAUAUCUCACUCCAUUAUUCAUGGAAACCAUUGAGCUCUGACGCUGAAUAUCUCUUGUUAGCUUCUCGUGUGUCUUUAUUGUUUUAUGGACUGAAUGUUUAUGUCCCCCCAAAAUUCAUAUGUUAAAAUCUUAAUCCCCAAUGUGCUGGUACUAGGAGGUGAGGCCUUUGGGAGAUAAUUGGGUUUAGAUGAGGUCGUGAAGACAAGGUCCCCAUGAUGGGAUUAGUGAGUGUUCUUAUAGGAUUUAGGCCACUCAGUCUAUGAUAUUCUGAAAUAGCAGCCUGAACUGAAACAAGACAAUUAUCAUCAAACAUCAUUUGAGUAUAUUAUUCUGUAUAAUACACUAUGAAAGAUCCCCAAAACAAGCAGAUUAGGCAAGUCUAAGGCCUGAUUUCUGUCCUCAAAGAAGGCGAAGGCUACAGUUAGAUUAAGAACUACUGCCUAGCUUUACUGGGAGAGAAUCAUUUUUACAACAUCAGUUGGAGAAGCCACAUAAUGAUCACCAUUAUGACUGCUUAGAUGUAACUUCGGGAUCUAACUAGAAUUUCUAGAUCCCUUAGGCUUAAGUCUUCUAUUUGACCACAAACGUUGAAUGCAUGUGCAUGUUAUGUUUGUCUGUUAAGUUCUCCUUCCUUCUUCUCCUGGCAAUAAUAUCUUCCUUUCUUUUAGAGAACUGCGCCUCCCUCACUCAAAACACAGAGUUCUAGGGGAAAUCGGCCAGUCAGGGGAGGGCGGAUAGCCGAGGCAGGACUACAUGUACCCUCCCCUGGUACCCACAGGUGCUGUGUUUCUACUGCUGGCCCUUCCAUCCACUUCCCUCCCCGACUCUGAGUCCAGGCUUCUGACAUUUAGUUCAUGGCUGCACCAACAGAGACUGACAUUGAUUCUAAAAAUAUUUUUAAUUGAAAUUGUAACCGGUUAUUCAGAAGCUCGAAAAUAAUUACAGUAUCUAGCAUGGACGGAGCACUUGCUGAAUGCAAGCACCAUCCAACCAAGGAGGCCAGGGCGGAGGCGGAGAACACUCAGGUGCAGAGUUGCCCAGGCCUCACACCUCCUGAGUGGCUGCAGUUGAGAAAUGGCCCCAGGGCCUGUGUCACAAAAGCAUGUGGGGCUCCUUGGAGAUUUCUGAGUUCAGCCAGAUAUUUAACCUCACUUACCUCCCUUGCCUAGAGUUUCAAACUCCUGUGCUGCGUGUGGUUACAAUGGGUAUCAGGUCAGCUCCCUAAGGCCCAGAUGAGUAGCUCUCUAACAGAUAAGUCUCUUUAAAUAUAUAGUUGUGCCUCUGUACUCAUGGGUUCUGCAUCCACGACUUCAACCAACUGUGGAUCAAGGACUGGUUCAUCUGUACUAAACAUGUAUAGACCUUUCUUCUUGUCUGUAUUCCCCAAACAGAAAAGGGCAUUGUUAUGCCUUCCUUCCUGUGAGGCUUCAUGUCCUGCUUCUCCUGGGGUAGCCCUCACAGCUGUGUCCCUACACUGCAAAGGGCCCCAUCUCCUCAUUGAUAGAUGGUAGGGACCUCUUUCUUGACCUGCCCAACUGCUGCAUAGAGAGACAGAAUAUACAGACAGCAGCCAGCCCAUAGAUGACAGCAGAAGUGUGACCCACAAUCUGCAGCAGCCAGUCCAGGAAGCCAAACCACAACGUCCACAGCAAUCUGCCCAGAACAGUCAGGACAUCAUCAAUAACCACUGGCUUCCCUACUUUUUCCUGCUGCUUCCAACUUAGGACCAGAGAAAGCCCAACAUGCUCCCCUAACCAGUCGCAUUGGAUGCCUCGCUUCUGGUGAGCCACCUGAGGCUUCCCCAGGCCAGCAGCCUUCACUCAGGGCACACCUGGAGCCUCUCCUCCUCCACUAUGAAGCUUUCCACUCCUCUGCCUGCCUUCAAGUCUCUGCCAAGCACUAGGAAUGGCAGCCGCCUCCUUUUCUACAGCAAGCCCUGAAUAGCCUUUGCUUGUUCUCAUUGGGUGGUCUUUGUUUAUCUCCACAUCGUUUUCGUUUUAACCAGUCCUUAGGUCUUUCUUUUGGCAUCCUGCCCACCCCUGCCUUCAGACAGCCUUCACCACUCUCUCUGAGGCCUGUGCGCCAGCCUCAAAUCUGUGCAACUUUGGCAGGAAUGGCCCUGCUUAGCGAGUCUCGGCCUUUCCCUGCAGUGACUUCUUUGUCUCCUCAUCAGGCCACUCAAUUCUAUGGCAGGGGAGAUCUCCAAUCACUGCCGAGACACCCACAGAACCUGAUUUUAGCCCCGGUGCUGGGGAAGUGGUUGCCAUAGCGAUGGAUGCAGCAGGCAGACAUAGGAAGGGCUCACUGCAGCCAGCCCACGCCAGGAGGGGCCAGGCCUUCUGUUUGGUCUGUGCUGCUCGCUGCCCCCCCAACCCCCAGCCCCCACCUCCAACAGCAAAAUGGGGGCUGGGAGCAGGAAUCAUCCAUGGCCAUCACGCUGGGAUCCUUGUCUUAGCACACCCACCCCUCCCCACCAUGCUGGCUGUUAAUGGUGUCACUUAGUUGUGCAGCUUAGACUGCGUUGCUUAGCAAUGAAAUAACCAACAGCGUAAAUCGUGUCUCCAUUGAAUCUCCGUGAAUGCCUCACUUAGAUGACCGUGAUUUCAGUGCUCUGUGCCAAGGUGGGGGUGGGGCGAUCCGAACCUUUUUAAAUGGAGGAUUUACACAUACAGAAAAAUAUGCACAAAGCGUAAGUGCUCAUCUUAAUAAACUGAAACCAACAUCCAGAUCAAGAUAUAGAACAUUUCCAGGACCCACCAACUUCCCUCCUGCCCUUCCCAGCUAAUAUCCACUCCCCUGUGGACAUGGAUAUGACCUUCAUCACCAUCUGUUUGGUUUGCCUGUAUGUGAGCUUCACAUGAAUAGAAUCCUAUGGUAAGGACCUUUUGUGUCCAGCUUACUUCACUCAUCACUGUGUUGAUGAGAUGCUCCCGUGUUGGGUGUGCAGUCGGAGGAUGGGGGUGGUGCUGCUGAGCAUGCUUUCCUCCACCCCCAGCAACAGGACUGGUCUCCUGGCUUUUCCACCUCACCUUCUGUACUGGUCAGAGUUCUCUUAGAGGGA
rnacentral:lncRNA from 1 species